CAUAGGUAUCUACUGAGAUUAAUCUUGAAUCUUUUUUCUCAUUGUAGAUCCUUCUUCUCCAAGUAAGAUCUCAAUCUUUUAAACUAUUGAUCAAUCUUUGAUUUUUUAUCACAAACUCAAUACUUAAACAGCAGCCUUUCUCCUCGUUCUUGAUGUAGAAGCAAUCAUCCUGUUCAAUUUGGGCAUAUGAGAAGAUGGGACGCCCAACUCUUGAGCGUUGGAAAGAGAGGAAGAAGGAGAGAUG
rnacentral:lncRNA from 1 species